GAUUCAUUCAUCUUGAAGGUGUACUUGCUCUGAGUUACUUCAACAACAGCUUUCUGCAGACAGUAGCAGAAAGUUCCCAGAUUGUGAAAGGGACAGAGAACCUGCUCUGUGAGGAACAACUGAAGGAGUUCAGUCUUUUCACCCUAGAGAAGAGAAGGCUUAGGAGCCAAGUGACUACAGUUUUUCAAUAUUUAAAGGCUAGCUACAGAGAGGACAGAGCUUGUCUCUUCACAAGGACAAGACAAGGGACAAUGAGUACAAGUUGCACCAGGAGGGAUUACAGCUUGUAAAGAAAAAAAGAAAAUUUUCAUGUAGCACCAGUAUAUCAUUCCAGAAACACAAAUGAAAUAGAAAAUCAGUCAGUGGCACAGGCUUGGCAUGGAAGCGGUGUACUUUGAGGAAAUACUAGUUGAGACCUGCCAGCUCAAAGGGUGUUUUUGCCACAUGCAGUCCUGUCCUCAUGCAACCUUCCUGUGAACAGCGCUGCCAGCUUGGGUGGGCUACCAAGGAAACACCGAGAAUUUGUCGGACUUGAAAAGAAAGCAAACGGACUGUGAAUUUGUUACAGGCUGCAGGUGGUUUUGAUCGGCUGGGCCGAGUCUGAGCCGGAAACAUUCCGGCUCCUGAGCCUCCCGGGGGACCUCUGCAGACAGGGCUCUGCAGCCACGCUGAUGAGUCGUGGGCAGGAGCUCACCUCCGAGCGAGUGGCGCUAGUGGGGAAAAAGUGAGCAAGCCAAAAUGACUCACAGGGGAGCAAAGGCUGCAGAGCAGGGCUGCCCUGGCAGCCUGCUGACACACUUAACUCCAGCCAGCGAGCAGAGUGAUUGCAUAACCGGUGGGAAAGCAAAUCUAGAGGUAGCUGUAAAACCUGUGGCAGCUGAGUUAAGAACAUAGCAGCCUUUAGGGCUUGCUGUCCAGUAAUAUUGUUGAAGAAAGCUGGAUGGUCUGUGGUAAGUCUUGAAUGGAUGGGUACAGAGAGUUUUGUUAGGAACACACAGUAAAAUUUGCAGCUGAGAAAAGCAGCUUUGGGGAAGAUGUUGAAUGGAGAAAUUAUACCACAAAGAUCUUUCUGCACUCUUAUAUUUCUCAGUACAAGUCUGUUGAGAUAACUAGAGACUUGAGACUGCAAAAACCACCUGAGAACACAGGAAAAAAUGCACAAGAAACCUGUACAGCCCAUCCAUCUUGAGGCUGUGUCCUGGAAAAUAGAAGUCACAGGCGCUGUGACUUUUUGGAACCUUCAGGAUCUGUUUUGAGUUACACAAAAUAAAAUUCCCAGUAAAACGAUUAUCUGUCUGGACAGAUUCAUGGGUUUAACUUUGGACACGUGCAAUAUGAAUUUGAAACAGUGCUUUGCAAACAGGAUACUCUUUCUUUGUAUAAAACAUCAGCUGUUGGGUCACAUCUCUUCCUCUGGAAUCACCAGCUGGAAAAUAUUACAUGAGUCACAAGAAUCUGAGAGCUCUGAAAAGCAGCACACACACCAAGUGACAUACAGGGUGAAAGCUCUAAACCCACAACUUAAAACACCAAAUCAGAGCCCCCAGAGCAGGAAUAGAGUUAAGCUUCUCUGAAAUGUUACCAAUUGAUUGGUGAGAUCAAGCUUAGGAGCCCAGGCAGCAUCAGGAAUGGCAAGAUAGAAAUGAAUACACAAAGAGCAUGAGCAUCCUUUUCUGACUAUUUUUUUCCCCAGGCAGUGCUGAUUUUGCAGUUACUCUGCUUCCUGAGAUAAUUUACACCAGCCUACACAGCACUUUGUGCUCUGACCAUACCCUGAUAGACAGAUGGUAGAUCUGGAUGCACUUACAAAAUAGUUCAGAUGGAUAGGUGUAGGCCGGCAGGAUUGUCACUGUGCUAGUAGGAUACCCGAAGAUUCUAGGUUAUGUUUACAUACCAGUUGAAAAGCAGGAUAUAUUUUCUUCUUUCUUUCUUUCUUUCUCUUUCUUUAUUUUUUUUUUUUCCCUGAAGCAUAAGCAGGUAGCAUUUGAGUAUCCAAAUACUGGGCACUUUCUUCAGGGUGAUACAAGCUACAGCGUGUCUGCUCUGUUACACCAUGUUCCCCUACUUAGUCCAGGACUAGGACACAGGCUGCAAGUGUGGAGGCCACUGUCUCAAAUUUGCCAGGCCUGUCCCUGGGCAGAAAAAGUGCUGGAGUCUCGAGAUCCAAGCUGGAUAAGCCUGCACCCUACUCCCGACACUACUGGCCAAGACUCUUGUCCUGCCACAUCUUUUCCAGGGGGGAUGCCAGCCUGCCCCCUCUCCGGCAGCUCCUCACUCACAAAAUUUCAUGGGGAAAAAAACCAAAACAUUGACAACUGUCUCAUAAAGCCAGGGUUUAUUCCUGCAUGCUUUCAACAGGGCAUUUCAUAGGUCUGUAUCUGUGAAGGAAAAUAGCUGUUCCAAACUGCAAUGUGACACUUGUGUUUUCUCUCUGCAAACCUUGAGCACUGCUGGAGCCCUAGUUCAGACAGGCACCAGACAGGCUCAGGUUCUGAAUUUCUUAUUUUUCCUUAAGUGCUUGCUGUAUUUCUCUCCAUGUUGCUUUCUUCUUUUUCUUUUUUUUCCCCCUCUUUUUCCUCCUCCUGGUCUUUCUUUUCUCUGCACUAGAAUGUAACUUACCCAUGUUUUCAUGGCUGCAGCAGCAAAGCCCAAAGCUCCUGCAUUUCUGCCUCUUACUUCACCAGAACCCAAGAUGAACUUUAGUACACACAGAUGUGAAGGGCCACAAAAAGGGGUCUUGUGCUUUAGCACAGGUAUCAUGGGCUAUUGCUGAUCUUAAGCCAUUACCUCACUUGCCUUCCUGGUUAUACUCAUGUUCUUUUUUACACUCGCAAGAAUGUAAUGCUGAUGAGACAAAUCUGAGAUUUAAACAUUCCAUUUAAAUUUCCUUCUUCUGUUUGAACUUCUUAUGUAGAAUAUUGAUUUUAUUUUUUAUCUUUUGUAAUAUGGUAGUACAGCUUUAAUAGUAGAAAUUUAAUUGGAGUCUGGCACUAAAGUACUAGUGAUUUAAAUUUUUAUGAUUGUUUCCAUAUGUUUUAUAUCCUUGCAGACAGAAUUUAGCUAACUUUCAAUGAAUAAAAUUAUUAAUAAGAAUGAGAUUUUUUUAAUACACGUCCUCAGGAUGCUGUUAGUGGCACAAACUCUUAAGUGUAAGGAUUAAUGUAUUCUGCAUUUGGUAAUUAAUGAUGCAGGUUUUUUAGUAUUGGAAUUUAAUUGAUAACACAUACCAUUAUGCCAUACUCUUCAUUUAAAAUACAAUGCUCAGUGGUAAAAACAGUUAGUUCCUAAUCAGUGAUUUUGUCUGUGUAGCUUAAAAUGCUUUAUGAAAGCAAGAAUUCAUAACUAUUUCUGUUUUUCAGAAUUCAUCUUCAGGGUUUUAUUUUUUGCUUGAUUUGCUGAGGGACCAAUAUUGAUUUGCUAGAUUCUCCAUGAUAUGUUAUAAAAAGGUCUGAAGUUGGAACCAGUGUUUCCUGAAUCAAUUUAUUUGACCAUAAUGCUUUCCAAAUACUCUUACUAGUCUAUUUCAGAAAUGAUUAUUUAAUGAGGUAGGUAAAAAAGUAGCUGGUCAUGGUGUUCUGCAACAACUGACUGUGAGACAUAUACACUGUGCUUUUUUCCCCAAUAAUUCCAUUUAUAUAAUUUUGUACUUCAUCCCAAAUGUGAAAAUACAUGUAUUCAAUCUGAGGGGCAUUCUUUAAAAUGGCCAUAUGCUUUUUUUCUUUUUUAAUGCAUAAUAACUAUAACUUUUUUCCUUUUUUUUUAAAACUUAUGAAGCUGAUACUGUAUGCCACAGCCACUAUGGCAGAUGCAAAAGUGAAUGCCGUCUUUGCUUAUUCUGGAAGCUUCUAUUAAUCACAGUGUAUAUUAAAUAAUCUUUGUCUCUACUAUAUCUAUACUAUUAUGAAAACGAUAUAUGCUCUAAAACUUAGCAAUGUGUGUGUUACUUUUCCACCAAUAAAAAAAAAAUAAAAUUAAGAA